rnacentral:rRNA from 1 species
CGAGCGGCGGACGGGUGAGUAAUGCCUAGGAAAUUGCCCUGAUGUGGGGGAUAACCAUUGGAAACGAUGGCUAAUACCGCAUAAUGCCUACGGGCCAAAGAGGGGGACCUUCGGGCCUCUCGCGUCAGGAUAUGCCUAGGUGGGAUUAGCUAGUUGGUGAGGUAAUGGCUCACCAAGGCGACGAUCCCUAGCUGGUCUGAGAGGAUGAUCAGCCACACUGGAACUGAGACACGGUCCAGACUCCUACGGGAGGCAGCAGUGGGGAAUAUUGCACAAUGGGCGCAAGCCUGAUGCAGCCAUGCCGCGUGUGUGAAGAAGGCCUUCGGGUUGUAAAGCACUUUCAGUCGUGAGGAAGGUAGUGUAGUUAAUAGCUGCAUUAUUUGACGUUAGCGACAGAAGAAGCACCGGCUAACUCCGUGCCAGCAGCCGCGGUAAUACGGAGGGUGCGAGCGUUAAUCGGAAUUACUGGGCGUAAAGCGCAUGCAGGUGGUUUGUUAAGUCAGAUGUGAAAGCCCGGGGCUCAACCUCGGAAUUGCAUUUGAAACUGGCAGACUAGAGUACUGUAGAGGGGGGUAGAAUUUCAGGUGUAGCGGUGAAAUGCGUAGAGAUCUGAAGGAAUACCGGUGGCGAAGGCGGCCCCCUGGACAGAUACUGACACUCAGAUGCGAAAGCGUGGGGAGCAAACAGGAUUAGAUACCCU